rnacentral:rRNA from 1 species
UACGAAGGGGGGCUAGCGUUGCUCGGAAUCACUGGGCGUAAAGGGUGCGUAGGCGGGUCUUUAAGUCAGGGGUGAAAUCCUGGAGCUCAACUCCAGAACUGCCUUUGAUACUGAGGAUCUUGAGUUCGGGAGAGGUGAGUGGAACUGCGAGUGUAGAGGUGAAAUUCGUAGAUAUUCGCAAGAACACCAGUGGCGAAGGCGGCUCACUGGCC